UUUCCGUAGGUGAACCUGCGGAAGGAUCAUUACAGAGUUCAUGCCCUAACGGGUAGAUCUCCCACCCUUGAAUAUUUAUACCUUAGUUGCUUUGGCAGGCCGUGGAAACACCAUGGGCUCCGGCUUAUGCGUGCCUGCCAGAGGAAACAAACUCUGUUUUUAGUGAUGUCUGAGUACUAUAUAAUAGUUAAAACUUUCAACAACGGAUCUCUUGGUUCUG
rnacentral:misc_RNA from 1 species